rnacentral:rRNA from 1 species
GACGAACGCUGGCGGCGUGCCUAAUACACGCAAGUCGAGCGCAGGAAACUGACGGAACUCUUCGGAGGGAAGGCAGUGGAAUGAGCGGCGGACGGGUGAGUAACACGUAAGGAACCUGCCUCAAGGAUUGGGAUAACUCCGAGAAAUCGGAGCUAAUACCGGAUAGUUCAACGGACCGCAUGGUCCGUUGAUGAAAGGCGCUCCGGCGUCACCUUGAGAUGGCCUUGCGGUGCAUUAGCUAGUUGGUGGGGUAACGGCUCACCAAGGCGACGAUGCAUAGCCGACCUGAGAGGGUGAUCGGCCACACUGGGACUGAGACACGGCCCAGACUCCUACGGGAGGCAGCAGUAGGGAAUCUUCCACAAUGGACGAAAGUCUGAUGGAGCAACGCCGCGUGAGUGAUGAAGGUUUUCGGAUCGUAAAACUCUGUUGUAAGGGAAGAACACGUACGAGAGGAAAUGCUCGUACCUUGACGGUACCUUACGAGAAAGCCACGGCUAACUACGUGCCAGCCGCCGCCGUAA